rnacentral:lncRNA from 1 species
AGAGUUGUUGACAUUCUACUGCUUAGGCUUGGCUCUAAACCUGAGGACUGGUGACCAUCUAAGAAGGACAAGGACACAGAGAUGUGUCAAAGAAAAAAACUUAAUGAAGUGGAGUUGAUGUUUUGUAUCAAAAACAGAUGCAAAUGGUACCUGGGUCAGCUUAUCCACCCUUUACAUAAAUAACUUUAUAAAAUAGAAAUCCACCUGAGAAAUUUGAAAGUGAGUUCUUAUUGGUUGAUUAAGUUUUUACCUGAUUGCUUCGUCAGAUAAGAAGGCUAUGCUGCAAACAAGACUUCAUUUUGAAAAGCUUACACUGCUAUAGAUGAGGAAAGAGACCUUUUGAGGGCAGCUGCUGAAGUAGUCCCUCUCCUGACCCGGACUUCCCUCAGGCCUAUGCUUGCCUUUGCUCUGUGAUUUGUUCUGUAUCCCAAGUUUUGUCAUCUUUGAACUCCAAAAGUCAGGAAUCUCACUCUCCUGACACCUGGCACACAGAAGUCACUGAGAAGACUAAACUGACUGUGCCUGUCUCAAUUUCAUUUAACCAUUACCCAGGGCUGAUGGGAAAGAAGAACAUUCAAAGAUGGACACACCCCAAUGAUCAAAGUCCAAAUUGUGCUACCCAGACUUCACCAAAAUUCUUAUUACAAGCUGCAGACAGUACCUCA